AGAACUAGUGAGAUACCAGUGGCACAGAGGAGUAUAGUGCUUUGUCUCAUAGUGUCCAGUCCCUUCCAAUGAGGUUGGAGAAAAAACAGGCUCUUGAACCUACACAUGGAUAUUCCUACAAUGUCUCAAUGACUAACGAUGCAGGGCACAGUC
rnacentral:snoRNA from 1 species